ACCACAAAGGCUGUCUGUCACUAAUAGAGCUGUGACAAUAUAUCCUAGUAUCGAUAAUUGUGAUACUUUAUCUGACGAUAAAUAUAUCGAUACGUUUUUUCGUAUCGUGAUAUGUAUCGUUGACCUUA